AGUGAACGCUGGCGGUAGGCCUAACACAUGCAAGUCGAACGGCAGCACAGUAAGAGCUUGCUCUUACGGGUGGCGAGUGGCGGACGGGUGAGGCAUACAUCGGAAUCUACUUUUUCGUGGGGGAUAACGUAGGGACACUGACGCUAAUACCGCAUACGACCUACGGGAGAAAGCAAGAGAUCUUCGGACCUUGCGCGAUUGAAUGAGCCGAUGUCGGAUUAGCUAGUUGGCGGGGUAAAGGCCCACCAAGGCGACGAUCCGUAGCUGGUCUGAGAGGAUGAUCCGCCACACUGGAACUGAGACACGGUCCAGACUCCUACGGGAGGCAGCAGUGGGGAAUAUUCGGCAAUGGGCGCAAGCCUGACCCAGCCAUGCCGCGUGGGUGAAGAAGGCCUUCGGGUCGUAAAGCCCUUUUGUUGGGAAAGAAGAGCAGCAGGUUAAUCCCCCGCUGUUCUGACGGUACCCAAAGAAUAAGCACCGGCUAACUUCGUG
rnacentral:rRNA from 1 species